rnacentral:rRNA from 1 species
CCUACGGGAGGCAGCAGUGGGGAAUCUUCCGCAAUGGACGAAAGUCUGACGGAGCAACGCCGCGUGAGUGAUGAAGGUCUUCGGAUUGUAAAGCUCUGUUAAUCGGGACGAAAGAGUUCUGUGUGAAUAAUGCAGAAAAGUGACGGUACCGGAAUAGAAAGCCACGGCUAACUACGUGCCAGCAGCCGCGGUAAUACGUAGGUGGCAAGCGUUGUCCGGAAUUAUUGGGCGUAAAGCGCGCGCAGGCGGCCUAUCCAGUCUGUCUUAAAAGUUCGGGGCUCAACCCCGUGAUGGGAUGGAAACUAGUAGGCUAGAGUAUCGGAGAGGAAAGCGGAAUUCCUAGUGUAGCGGUGAAAUGCGUAGAUAUUAGGAAGAACACCAGUGGCGAAGGCGGCUUUCUGGACGAAAACU